rnacentral:tRNA from 1 species
GCCGUCGUGGUGUAAUGGUCAACACACUUAACGCGUAUUCUAGAGAUCUGAGGUUCGAGUCCCAGCGAGGGCA